rnacentral:rRNA from 1 species
GACGAACGCUGGCGGCGUGCUUAACACAUGCAAGUCGAACGGAAAGGCCCUGCUUUUGUGGGGUGCUCGAGUGGCGAACGGGUGAGUAACACGUGAGUAACCUGCCCUUGACUUUGGGAUAACUUCAGGAAACUGGGGCUAAUACAGGAUAGGAGCUCCUGCUGCAUGGUGGGGGUUGGAAAGUUUCGGCGGUUGGGGAUGGACUCGCGGCUUAUCAGCUUGUUGGUGGGGUAGUGGCUUACCAAGGCUUUGACGGGUAGCCGGCCUGAGAGGGUGACCGGCGACAUUGGGACUGAGAUACGGCCCAGACUCCUACGGGAGGCAGCAGUGGGGAAUAUUGCACAAUGGGCGGAAGCCUGAUGCAGCAACGCCGCGUGCGGGAUGACGGCCUUCGGGUUGUAAACCGCUUUCGCCUGUGACGAAGCGUGAGUGACGGUAAUGGGUAAAGAAGCACCGGCUAACUACGUG